GAAAGCAAAACUUUCUUUCUUUUUCUCUCUUCUCACGUUGGUUGCAUGGAAGAAGAAGAUGAUGGGUUGGUUCCUUUUCAUCUUUCUUUCCACAUAUAUAUAUAUAUACUAAAUAAAUUAAUAAUAAAAUAAUAAAAUAUCAUUUAAAAAUCAAAUUAAAAUAUUAAUAAACUAAUAAUUAAUUAAUUAAUCUAAAAUAUCACCAACAUCAUCAUUGCCUUCUAGAUUUCUCUCUCUUCUAAUUGACCAUUUUGCCCUUAUGUUCUUUUAAAAUUCCA
rnacentral:lncRNA from 1 species